ensembl:lncRNA
UUAGUCUGCAUAUGUGUAAGAUCUACAUGCGUAAGUGAAGGAACCUCUUGUCUAUGUUUGGGUGAGCUCAGUGGUGAUAGGGAGGGUCUAACUGUGCCUUUUUCGACCUUGUGUAGAACUGACAUCCUUUGGCAGACAGGAAGCUCAGUUAGAGAUCUUAAUCAAGAGUGGCUAUUAUGACUGAGAUGUUAAACAUGUAUGGCGUCAGGAGUAGAUCAAUCUUAAGUAUAUAAACCCUGUGCAAUGUAAGUAAAAUUCCUUCACUUUCAUCCUUGUGCUGUCAGUGAGCUCGAUUGCAAUUGUUAUGGAAUUAAUAUACUGAUCUACAACUCCGAGUCCUGAGAUAACUUGAGAGUGAAUUUUUGUAGAUCUUACACAUAUGCAGCUGCACCUGAACUGGUAAGUGUUUGGCAACAUUGCGCAAUAGUGAAUUUCAGACACUGAAGGCCUGUUAGAACUUGAGCUCACUUCCCAUGCCAGUUUACUGAAAUGCACCACCCCUUCUACGCACCCUUUUAAGAACUAUUUAUAUAGCACCUGUCUUCUAGAUUCACAUUUAUACCAAAGAGCAUAUUGAGCAAAGACGCCAUGUCGAAGGUAAGCAAUUCAAUUUGAAAACUCACCUGUUAUUAUUGUUAGAAGUAUUAGUACUAGUAUUUAUUUAUUUAUUUAUUUAUUUUCAGCUUUGCCACUUAUUUUUAUUUAUAAAAUUCAAUGCAGUUAGCCAGGAGGAAAAAUGGCCUGCCGGACAUGUCAUUGGUUUGCUUUAUCGUGUCAAAUAUUUUCUUUAUACCCCACCUUUUAGGGCAAAGCUGUACCCUACUGGAACCUGUCGGUUACUGUCCUGCAUGCAAAACUGAAAUGGUCACAUGACUACUUUUCGGAGUCGGACUGCUACGUGAUUCUGAGGCUCCCCACGUCCUCUGCUCGCUCUCACCGCACCC